rnacentral:rRNA from 1 species
GAUGAACGCUAGCGGGAGGCCUAACACAUGCAAGCCGAGCGGUAGAGUCUCUUCGGAGCCUUGAGAGCGGCGCACGGGUGCGGAACACGUGUGCAACCUGCCUUUAUCUGGGGGAUAGCCUUUCGAAGGGAAGAUUAAUACCCCAUAAUAUACUGGAUGGCAUCAUCUGGUAUUGAAAACUCCGGUGGAUAGAGAUGGGCACGCGCAAGAUUAGAUAGUUGGUGAGGUAACGGCUCACCAAGUCAGCGAUCUUUAGGGGGCCUGAGAGGGUGAUCCCCCACACUGGUACUGAGACACGGACCAGGCUCCUACGGGAGGCAGCAGUGAGGAAUAUUGGACAAUGGGUGAGAGCCUGAUCCAGCCAUCCCGCGUGAAGGACGACGGCCCUAUGGGUUGUAAACUUCUUUUGUAUAGGGAUAAACCUAGAUACGUGUAUCUAGCUGAAGGUACUAUACGAAUAAGCACCGGCUAACUCCGU